AGGGGUCUGGCAUUCAAGCCCCAGGCGUCGUGAGGUCCUUUCAGCUGAGCCCCCUCAUUUGGAACAGGGGAAGAACCUACUGCCUAGGAACGUCCACAACCAGAAGACAAAGCAACCAGCCAUGCUGCCACGGGGGACAUUCAGAGUUGCCGGUGGAAUUGACCUCAUCCAAAGCUUUUUUGUUCAUGGACUGCGCUGGAAGGGGAGAGUGACCUGGCUGGAGGGUCAGCUCGUAAGAAGAGGCAGAGCACCCCAAGAUGCAGAGCAACCAUUGG